AAACAACAACAACAAUAUCAAAAAAAAUAAUAAUGGCAGACCCUCAGCUUACUCAAGAAAUGAAGAUGCAUGCUGUUACUGUGGUUAUA